rnacentral:rRNA from 1 species
GGGGAAUAUUGCACAAUGGGGGAAACCCUGAUGCAGCGACGCCGCGUGAGUGAAGAAGUAUUUCGGUAUGUAAAGCUCUAUCAGCAGGGAAGAAAAUGACGGUACCUGACUAAGAAGCCCCGGCUAACUACGUGCCAGCAGCCGCGGUAAUACGUAGGGGGCAAGCGUUAUCCGGAUUUACUGGGUGUAAAGGGAGCGUAGGUGGUUCGGCAAGUCAGAUGUGAAAGCCCGGGGCUCAACCCCGGGACUGCAUUUGAAACUGUCGGACUAGAGUGCAGGAGAGGUAAGUGGAAUUCCUAGUGUAGCGGUGUAAUGCGUAGAUAUUAGGAGGAACACCAGUGGCGAAGGCGGCUUACUGGACUGUAACUGACACUGAGGCUCGAAAGCGUGGGGAGCAAAC